rnacentral:lncRNA from 1 species
CACUGCUCUGCAGGCCUUCCCCAGAUGCUCACGCAGUCCCUGGGGGCUCUUCUGCAGAGAAUAAUGUCAAACAAAUUUUCUGAUUGCCGGGCAUUGUUUCUGUUGGAAGAUGAUGGAUUCCUCUGAGAAAUUCAUAGGAAAAUCAUCAGGUGCAGGAUGAUACCAGACUUCUCAUUGCUGCUGGAAACGGGAGCCUA